GUAGAGUGGCGGACGGGUGAGUAACGCGUAGGAAUCUGUCCAGUAAUGGGGGAUAGCCCGGCGAAAGCCGGAUUAAUACCGCAUACGCCCUGAGGGGGAAAGCGGGGGAUCGCAAGACCUCGCGUUAUUGGAGCGGCCGAUAUCGGAUUAGCUAGUUGGUGGGGUAAAGGCCUACCAAGGCGACGAUCCGUAGCUGGUCUGAGAGGAUGAUCAGCCACACUGGAACUGAGACACGGUCCAGACUCCUACGGGAGGCAGCAGUGGGGAAUUUUGGACAGUGGGGGCAACCCUGAUCCAGCCAUUCCGCGUGAGUGAAGAAGGCCUUCGGGUUGUAAAGCUCUUUCGGCAGGAACGAAACGGUUCUCUCUAACAUAGGGGGCUAAUGACGGUACCUGAAGAAGAAGCACCGGCUAACUACGUGCCAGCAGCCGCGGUAAUACGUAGGGUGCGAGCGUUAAUCGGAAUUACUGGGCGUAAAGCGUGCGCAGGCGGUUGUGUAAGACAGGUGUGAAAUCCCCGGGCUUAACCUGGGAACUGCGCUUGUGACUGCACGACUCGAGUGUGGCAGAGGGGGGUGGAAUUCCACGUGUAGCAGUGAAAUGCGUAGAGAUGUGGAGGAACACCGAUGGCGAAGGCAGCCCCCUGGGUUAACACUGACGCUCAUGCACGAAAGCGUGGGUAGCAAACAGGAUUAGAUACCCUGGUAGUCCACGCCCUAAACGAUGCGAACUAGGUGUUGGAGAAGGAGACUUCUUUAGUACCGUAGCUAACGCGUGAAGUUCGCCGCCUGGGGAGUACGGUCGCAAGAUUAAAACUCAAAGGAAUUGACGGGGACCCGCACAAGCGGUGGAUGAUGUGGAUUAAUUCGAUGCAACGCGAAAAACCUUACCUACCCUUGACAUGCCGGGAACCCUGCCGAGAGGUGGGGGUGCUCGAAAAGAGAGCCUGGACACAGGUGCUGCAUGGCUGUCGUCAGCUCGUG
rnacentral:rRNA from 1 species